rnacentral:misc_RNA from 1 species
CGCACAUUGCGCCCUUCGGUAUUCCGGAGGGCAUGCCUGUUCGAGCGUCAUUACACCCUUCAAGCGUAGCUUGGUCAUGGGCCCCGCCUGCGAAGGCGUGCCCGAAAACGAGUGGCGGUCCGGUGCGACUUUAAAGCGUAUUAAAUUUUCUCCACGCUCAGGAAGUCAAACCUCGCCGGCCAGCGACCCCCAAUUCCAUGAAUUGACCUCGGAUCAGGUAGGGAUACCCGCUGAACUUAA